rnacentral:rRNA from 1 species
GACGAACGCUGGCGGCGUGCUUAACACAUGCAAGUCGAACGGAAAGGCCCUGCUUUUGUGGGGCGCUCGAGUGGCGAACGCGUGAGUAACACGUGAGUAAACUGCCCCUGACUUUCGGGUAACUUCAGGAAACUGCGGCGAAUACCCCGUAGGAGCUCUUGCUCCACGGGGGGCAUUGGUAAGUUUCGGCGGUUCGGGAUGGUCUCGCGGCUUAUCAGCUUGUUUGGGGAGUAGUGGAUUACAAGGGUUUUGACGGGUAGGCGGCCUUGGAGGGUGGCCGGGCACAAUGGGACUGAGAGACGGCGCAGUAGCCUACGGGAGGCAGCAGGGGGAAAUAUUGCAGAAUGGGCGGGAGCGUGAGGCGGCAACGCCGGGAGCGGGAUGACGGCUUACGAGUUGUAAACCGCUUUCGCCUGUGACGAAGCGUGAGUGACGGUAAUGGGUAAAGAAGCACCGGCUAACUACGUG